UAAGUCUUCUUUUCUGUAGAUUGACUCUGUAUCUAUUAACGAUAAAGGAGUGUACAAUUGCGUGGCUACUAAUUUUGCAGGAGAAGGAAGACAAGAUGUGGUGCUAACAGUGUUAGGUGGGUGAUUUUUUUUAACCAUUAAAAAUUAGUUGUCCUUUAAGAUCUUAUUCUUUUUGCUUCAAUUUAGUGCUGCCUAAUAUUGAACCAUCAGAUGUCAACCAGACUGUUGUUGAGAAUCUUCCAGCAUCCUUUCAGUGCUUGGUAUCCAGAAGUCCAUUGCCAAUUGUGUCCUGGUAUCGAGGGGAGUAGCUGUUGUCUGCUGCGCCUGGCAUCACCCUGCUAAACGAUGGCAAGACCCUUCAGAUUGAGAGUGCCCAAAGCUCAGAAAGUGGAGAAUACUGUGUGUAGCUUCUAUUAAAGCUGGUACCAUUGAAUUCCAAUACAACAUGCAAAGGUGCAAAGGUCUUGAUUAUGGAGAUGGAAGAACCAGGAGCAGCUAUAGGGAUUAGCAGGGACAUUGUCUCUUUCAGUAGAACAAAAGGUUUUUUCCCCCUCAACAGUUGCUCCAAUAAUUGUCUCCAUUAUGGACCUUUUUGAUGAAUGAGCAGGUGUGGCUGGAAUGUGAUGCAACAGGGGUGCCGGAGCCAAUGGUUAUGUGGCUGAAGGACCAAAUACCAGUUUCGACUGAAAUAGCUGGCCUACAGUGGCCCCAAGUAACAUGGGAGAAGAACUAAACUCCUCCAUCUAUGUUAACCAGCCUCUUCUUCUUGAGUGCCAGAGCACUGCAAUCCCUCCCCCAGUUAUCACUUGGUUGAAAGAUGGGCGCCCCUAUGUUCAGAGGCCUGGGGUGCGAGUAUAUAUAUAGACGAUGGUCACUAUCUGCAGUGCCACCAUCUUUCCCAAAACCCUCUUCUCCCCACCACUCAAUAAUUAAAGGGCAACCUGUUAGCUUUACUUGUGAAUGCACUGGGGUUCAUGCACCAACACUCACCUGGACCA